AGAAGAAAUGAUAAAGUACAGAAGAAGUCCAUCCAGGAAGACUCUUAGAAGAUUUUAAGAGUUCAGAUUUCCUACAUAAUUCCCACACCCCAAAAUUAACCCAAAAUUAAAUUAAAUUUCAGUUAAGGAAAGCAGGAACAGGAUCUCAACCUUGGUUCUAUUAUGAACUAAUCCAAAAGUACCUGCAUAUUUUUGAAGGCAUUACACUUUCAAUAAUGUAAUGCAGAUUUAAGCAGGACAACGAAUGAAGGAAUCGUUUUGAAACAAUUUAUAAAGUUGUUAAACUGCUUGAGAAGCAAAACUCUCCCAAAGUGGGCUUUUCAUAAAAGGAAUAAAGCCCAGCCCAAUGUUACUUCUUGGGAUCUUCCUUUAAGACUUUUUAAAAAUGCCCUUUUAAAAUGGAUGUUGUUUUCUGCAGCAAGACUAAAUAACAGGCGUGCUUUCUGGGGAAAUGUGGAAAGCUGAGAACUUGCAAGGAACUGGGCUACCGUGCAGUGCUGGUUAUGUUAUUAACCCCAAAUUCUCACCAAUGUCCUUUUCCCCCCAUAUCCCGUUGCUUGGAGAGAUCCGAUGCAUCUCUCAUUUCUCCAGGCUAGCGGCCAAAAGUUAAAUUUGGCGGGGGGGGGGGCAGGGGGGAAGGAGUCAUUAAUCUAGUCAGGUGUUGGGUUAAAUCUGGUCGCUAAAGAAACCUGAUCCGUUCACCAAACACUUUUCUCCUUGUUGAGUUCCAUUCAAUUUCAUCCAAGAACCGGAGCAAUCAGAGAAAAGACUUCAGCAGAGGUUAGAUCUGGGGAUGGGGAGAGACAAGGAGACCUGGAGAACAUCUCUCUGGCUGGCUUCACACAGCCUUUCCAGACCUAACAGCAAAGUUGCCCAACUUCCUACGUCUGGUUAAUUUUAACCCUGGCUAGUUCAUGGUUUGGCUAGCACAGAGGUUGAUGCUUUGUCCAAACCCACAAAACAGGUUUACUCAGGAACCAAGUUUGGUGGGUAGCACAAACUCAGCUGGAAGGUUAUCGGCCGUUUUUGCUAAGAGACAAAGAUCAAGGCAAAGUUGUUGAGAAGUUCAAACGAAUCCGUUUGUGAGUCAGUCCCCCCUCACGUGUAGGUCCUACGCUUCUGAGUGUGCACAGAAGAACAUUCCCGUUUUGGAAAAAUGCCUUCGGGAUGAAUCCCAGGGUGCUCUAAAAUGGAGUGUUUCCCUCCCAAGUUAGGAACUGUGCUCUGGGUUUGAAAUAGAUGUAUUGGCAAAGGAUAGAUCCGGACAGGUGGGCUAAUGGGGCCAAGAAGCCAAUGUUUUCUGGGGGAGCUGAGCUCCCAGCUCCCUUGUUGGCGCAGGAAUUGCUGGGGAGGGGAGUGCCUUCCAGUAGACUUGCCCACUGAAUGCUUUCGGCACCUCCCUCCCGGUCCUGGAGAAAGAUCUGGGGGCUCCCUGGGGCUAGGACUCAGCCCAGGGCCUUCCUUCCAGGCAGCACAUCAGGCAUGGCGUCUCAGAACAUGCACAGACUGCCAAGCGGCAUUACAAGAAGCUGCCUCGCAGGAGAAACGCAGCCCAGCUUCAGCUUCAGCGUCUCUUCCAAAGCCAGACUCGGCCCGGAGGGGCUGCCAAGGUCGGGCUGCUUCUGCCCGAGGCUUGGGCACCAACACCAGGCUGAACUGUGCCCAAUCAGGGCAACACGGGGAGCGUCAGGGGCAGAGCGCGGGGCAGGAUGAGCUGCAGGGCAUGCUGCAAGCAGAUUCCCCCCAAAGAGAGGCAAAACCCCAGCGAGGCCGGGAUCUCUUUCUCUCGGAAAACUCGCCUUCCUUUUUAGUCCACACAAACAGCUUGUGAUUCAAGCCCCAGCACAUCUCUCUGUUUUCUUCUCCUUUUCCCCCCUCCUUUUCCGCUUAUAACUCGGUCAGGACCAAAUAUUUAUCAUUUCCCAAACCUUAUAAGGAGGAACAGAAAGGGGCGAGGAGGAAAAAGGAACGCACGGCUGGCAACCGCUCUCUCCUCCUGGUCUCCCCCACCCAAAAACGCUUCCAGAAAAACAAAGGCGUUCCGCCUCCAACUCGGAGAGCCGUGCAGAGGCCCAGCAGCCUCCAGACACUACAAUUCCUAUCGCUCCCAGCCAACUGGCACAGUGACCAGCAUCCUCUUCGUCCCCUGAGGCUGCAACCCCCAACCAACCCCAGCACUGGGGGAUGAUGGGAGUUGUAAUGCAACCUCCCCAAGAUCCACUCGUGUCCGGCACAUCCACUGGUUUGCAGCCACCUGCUUUGUUGGGUGCAACAGAGGACCCCAAGAAAACGUGGGGCUUGUCCCCCAGCGCUGGCUGUUUCCUCUUACACAAUCCCCCUCCUCCCAUUAGCCCUCCUCCUCCAUUUCCUUACUUAGUUCUCCACUCAAACCUCCUAGGAAGACAGCUGCGUUUGCACAACAGGCUAACCGUGGCUUAACUGAACCAAACCCAACCAAUUUGGGUUUACCAAAGCAACCCAAUUGCCUAACUUCCCCCAACAUGGUGAGCCAUAAGUUAACCCCCGUCUAGGUUCAUACAAGCACCUGAACCACAGAGAAUCAGGGGGCUGGAAGGGAUCUUGAAGGUCUCCUAGUCCAACCCCUGCCCGGGGUGAGAAUCCAGACAAAUGGCUGUCCAACCUUUGUUUGAAAAGGCCAGAAAAUCCCUUCUUAUUUCGAGUUUGGACCUCCCUCUGCAAAGCUUCCACCCACUGGAGUACUGAAAAGCCAAUUUUAACCUACUUAACCCAACUAGCCUGCAUUUCUUUGCCUGGUGGGAACUGAGCAACUGCAGGCCAAUUUCUGCUCCGACACCCGGGUGUUCACAUCAGACACACCCAGCCACGUUUUAAAGCAAACAGCUAAAAGGAAGUAAGUCAAGCCUCUGAUGGCAUUACCACCCCACGUGCUCUCUUUCCCAAUAGGACAGCCAGGCUGUGUUCAAGCACUGCUGCCCCUCCACUGGGCGGGGGUUGAACUAAAUGACCUCUAGGACCCCCAGAACAGUAAAAUUCCCCCACAGUCCUUUUACAGGCGAGGCCUCUGCUUCAUUUUAAAACCUGCGGCCCAAAGCCUGACACAGCAAAAUGAUAAAGGAGGAAGUUCAGAGCGGGUGGCUCUCGGAGAUGGCCACGGACGUAAACUCCCACACCGAGUGGGCUUCCUGGACGCGAGCCCGUGGGCGUCAACAGGCUGAGCACCCUAGCGAAUGGACGGUUUCCAGUGGCUCGGCCCAUUCUCUCAAUGGACAAGGUCCCGGGGAGCAUUUGUGAGAGCACCCACAACCUGGCCGGCUUGGAGAGGGUCAGAUUGGCUCGCUGGCGUUUAGAAAGGCUCUGCCCCACAGCUCCAAUCCUUCGAAUACUGGGAACUGAUCAAGAUCACUGUGGCGGGGUCUCUCCCCGUCUGUCCCGUCCAAGGGAGCCAGUUUGGAAGGUUUUAUUUCUGUCUCCUAAUCACCUACGGCGAGAGAAGGGGUUUUGCCAGGCGACUAAGCAAGGACAUCAGUUUCUCUCGGUUUUUUGGUCUGCCAGUAACACGUGCCAAGGUCGUUUUGGACAGGUGGAGGCCUUUCCCCCCAGAGUUUAUAAAGCCAUCUCUCUCCACCAGCACCCCCCACAUCCCUUCUGCCUCUCGGACGCCCAAUCGAAGUCUCAACCAUCUGUGCAAACAACUGGGCUCUUUCUAUUCUGACAGCAACGAACGAACGAUCAAUUCUGGCCUAGACAGCUUAGCAACGCAGAAACCAACAGACCAUCAAGACCACCCUGGCCAUAUCCUUGCCACACCCUUAACCAGAUGCCUGCUCUCCAGCUCAGAGGGUAUAAAUAAAGAAUCUCGUAAACUGAUCCUGGAUUCCAGCCUUCGUCCCGGAUGAACGUGCUCUCAUGGAAAAUCAUGCCCCCAAAUUUAGCAACCAAGUGACAGAAUCUCCCCCAGACACUCCCCCAAAGAACGUGUCUAUCACCCAGUGCUGAUCAAUCAAACCAGGUGAGGACUGAACAGAUAUCUUUGCACGAGAAG